UAAUUGAAGAGUUUGAUCAUGGCUCAGAUUGAACGCUGGCGGCAGGCCUAACACAUGCAAGUCGAACGGUAGCACAGAGGAGCUUGCUCCUCGGGUGACGAGUGGCGGACGGGUGAGUAAUGUCUGGGGAUCUGCCCGAUGGAGGGGGAUAACCACUGGAAACGGUGGCUAAUACCGCAUAACGUCGCAAGACCAAAGUGGGGGACCUUCGGGCCUCACACCAUCGGAUGAACCCAGAUGGGAUUAGCUAGUAGGUGGGGUAACGGCUCACCUAGGCGACGAUCCCUAGCUGGUCUGAGAGGAUGACCAGCCACACUGGAACUGAGACACGGUCCAGACUCCUACGGGAGGCAGCAGUGGGGAAUAUUGCACAAUGGGCGCAAGCCUGAUGCAGCCAUGCCGCGUGUAUGAAGAAGGCCUUCGGGUUGUAAAGUACUUUCAGCGGGGAGGAAGGGGACGAGGUUAACAGCCUCGUUCAUUGACGUUACCCGCAGAAGAAGCACCGGCUAACUCCGUGCCAGCAGCCGCGGUAAUACGGAGGGUGCAAGCGUUAAUCGGAAUUAC
rnacentral:rRNA from 1 species